rnacentral:rRNA from 1 species
AUGUGUAUCCCGAAGGAAAGAGGUGGUAUGGGGUUCAGAGAUAUCCAUUGCUUUAAAUUGGCGAUGCUUGCAAAGCAAUGUUGGAGGCUGAUAGAAAAUUAUGAAUCAUUGUGUGCCCGAGUUCUGCGUGCAAGAUACUAUCCGUCGGGUGAUAUCCUUAAUAGCACACUUAAGAAAGGCUCCUCUUUUGUUUGGCAGAGCAUCUUUGCAGGAAUCCAGAUGUUUAAGAAGGGAUUGAUUUGGAGGGUGGGAGAUGGUAUAAAGAUAAAUAUAUGGGAGGAUUGCUGGAUUCCUAACAGUCCAUCAAGGAAAAUUAUUACAGUCCAAGGUAAUCAGGUUUUGACAUCUGUUAAUGAACUCAUUGAUCCUGUAACUGGUAUGUGA